rnacentral:lncRNA from 1 species
CAAGGACCAGCAUGGAAUAGGCGAAGGAUAAGCCUUGGCUGAGGGGAUUCAGGGAUGCUCUGCCAAGGCGAGACCUGCCGAGACGACAGAUGCCCGUCCCGACGCCCAGCCUCCUCCUCCCGCGUCUUUCUGGCGCCCCCCGGGGUCCGCGGCCUCUGUUCCCCUGGCAGCGGAUGCCCGAGAAGCCGGGUGAGGUGAGGUGUUUACGAGAUGGCAAGCGGGAGCACGCUGAUGGCUGGGGGUGCGGCCUGAGGAACGCCCCUCCCACCCAAAAGCUUUCCACUGAGCCGGCUGUUUUGUUUCCGAGGAGAUCACUAUUAAUAUGCAUGCUCCCGCCUCCCUCCCGCCUCCUUGGUUGACGAGGCAAAAGAACUGCAGAAUAUUUACCAGCCCUGGCCCAUGUGUUCGGGAAACAGUCCUGCCAAUGAAUGCCUCUUCCUACCGACCAGCGGAGAAGAGAGAGGAACACCUCCCUAAGGCUCGGCGAGUUUGGCGAGUUUGGGGCGGGGGAGGGACACCAACGUGGCUACUGGGUCUGGACAGAAUUUUGCACAUUUUAUACCAGAAAAAUAAAA